rnacentral:lncRNA from 1 species
GUGAGUGCUUGUAGCACCAGGGCACAUCUGCAGCGGAUUUGCUGCUUGUGAGCCUCUCUUGCUCCACGGUGGGGGAAAAUGUGAUUUUCCUACUUUUCUUCUUCCUUUUUUUUUUUUUUUUUUUUCUUAGAGGAAGGCUUUACAGGCUCGGAUUUGGAAGCUUUCCCAGUUUUUGCAAAUAAAACUGCGAGCCUGUCUGUGGAGCGUUGGAAGAGGAAUCUCAGGAACGUGGGAGCUCUCUGCAGAGCUGCUCUGGAGUUUCUCCCGGUGCUGCCUUUAAAUGCUCCUCAGGGCUGCAGCCAGGUCAGGAAUGCGGUGAGCCCUGGGAAGGAGAAGUUUUCUUGGGGCCAGAACGGUGCAAUGCCACUGCUGGGAUAAUCCAUUUCCUCCAGGCUGCUGACUUGAAGAUGUCAAGGAUUUGGGUAAAAAUAGAAAAGAGAAGAAUGACAUCCUGGAUGAG